UGAAGUAUGGGACGAGUUUUUCUCCAGAGAAAGAGAAGACAUUAGAGUGGAAAGAUUAUGUUAACAUGAUCUACACUAACGAUACUGAAGCACUUGAAUUUUGGCCUAAGGAAUGCAAGGAAGUCGCUCUUAAGUAUCUAAGAACAUCNNNNNNNGGUGAGAAAACUACUUGAAGUUUUGAUGGGGAACCUUGGAGUGACACUAGAUGAUGCAAAAAUGGAUGCCUUAACUGGCUUGAAGACAGUUAACAUGAACUUCUACCCAGCAUGUCCAAAUCCUGAGCUCACUGUUGGCAUGGGUCGUCAUUCAGAUUUGGGUACAAUUACUGUGUUGUUGCAAGAUGGUAUUGGUGGACUAUAUGUAAAAGUGGAAGAAAACAUUAAUGGCCAGAAAAAGGGUGAGUGGAUGGAGAUCCCACCAAUCCCUGGUGCUUUGGUCAUCAAUAUUGGCGACACACUGCAGAUAGUGAGCAAUGGAAGGUAUAAAAGUGCUGAACACAGAGUUCGUACUACAAGCACUCAAUCAAGAGUGUCAGUUCCAUUUUUUACAAUUCCAAAACGAACAGAGAAAAUUGGACCAUUGCCUCAAGUGGUGGAGAGGGAUGGCGUGGCACGUUUCAGGGAGGUUGUGUUUGAAGAUUACUACAACAACUUUUUUGGCAAUGCUCAUGAAGGAAAGAAGUCUCUUGAUUUUGCACGGAUCUUUUAGCUAGCUAUUGUUCAUUUCCCAGCUUCACAAAAACAUCCUUGUUAUGUUUUAUUCUGUCUCCGCACGUCCAUAAUAAAG
rnacentral:misc_RNA from 1 species